GCUACAGUGCUACUGGCCCAUAAUCAGGCAACUGCAGAGUCUUAGGGGGUUAUCUAAUGUAGUCUUGGGGUGGCUGGAUAGACUUCCCAAAGAAGGUGAUGCCGAAGCUGAGGUCGGAAAUUACGAAGAUCAGCUAUGAAGGCCUGAGGAGAGAAGACACAUAGUCAUGCUGACUAAACCAGAUCACCUAGAAUUACCAAAUGGAAAGAUUGUGCCUGCAGCCUGGCCUGUUGCCCACAGCGGUCUACCUGCCACACUGGGAAAGAUCGAGCAGAGACAGAGAAGAAAAGGAGGCUCCAUUUUUCAGGCUGCUCUCCCGCAGGCUCAUGUUUUGUGUUCAUGCCAGGCAGAGAACACAAAAUGUUCCAAUAAAUAAGUAUCAAAGGUUAGUGGUGAAAAUGAAGGAGGAGGAGGCAUUGCGUGAAAAACUAAACAUGCAAAAUAUUACACACAAAGAGAACCAAAAUGCAGGUUCACUGGAAAUGAUAGACAAUAUGUUAAAACAAGAGGAGAGAAGAGAGCUGAAAUAAUCAAAUGGAAACACACAAUUUAGGGCUAAGAUCUUGUUGUGUUCAGCCACAAAUGAUGGCCAGCAGUGAGGAAUCUGUGUGUUCUCCACACUCUUCGCUCCUGGGAAGUCAACUCACAUGGACCAUGAUAUCAAUAUCUGCUCCUUCCCCUAAUAUCUGUUUGACCUUGGGUCAGUUACUUAAACUUCCUAAGCCUUAGUUUCUUUGUCUGGAAAAUAGGGAUAGUUAUACCUACCACACAACCACUUUGUAAUGAAUAUGUUGGAAAUUAUAUGCAAAUUGGCUUCCGUUGGUGUUUGGAACAUAGUAGGUUUUUAACUGGAAUAUAAUAGCUACCAUUAUCAGUAUCAUCAUAUUAAUUUAUAUUUCCAUCUUCAGCCCUUAACCCAGGAUCUUCAGUAAAUGUUGAAUUCUCAAAUUUGUUAAAUUCACUUGUCUAUACUAAUAUUUUACUCUAGGUUUCUUAGAAUAUUCUAGAUAAUAUUAUUAUGUAGAAUAUGUUAUGUAAGCUUCAUCUUAUCUGUAAAUAUAGUUUUACUUUUUCCUUUCUAAUUUUUAUGUCGAUUACUUCUUUUUCUUGGCUUAUUGAAUUGGCUAGGAUUCCCGUACAGUGUUGAAUACGUGCAGCAAGACUGCACAUCUUGCCUUGUUCCUGGUCCCACAGAGAGAAUAUCCAGUACUUCACAAUAAGUAUGUGUUAAUUGUAGAUUUUAUUAGAUUGAGGAAGUUCCCUUUCCUUUCAAGUCAGUCUUUUUAUUUUAAACAUGUAUUGAAGUUUUGUCAAAUGUCUUCAUCUAUUGGAAUAAUUAUACAUAUCUCUUUUUUAUUCUGUUAAUAUUACAUUUCAAUCUUCUGUCUACCUAAAAUCCCUAGAAUAAUCUCCAUUUGGCUAUGAUGUGUUGUGCUUUUAUAUAUUACUGAAUUCUAUAUGCCAAUAUUAUUAAAAUUUUCUGUCUUUAUGAGAAAUA
rnacentral:lncRNA from 1 species